rnacentral:rRNA from 1 species
GGCAGCGCGGGGCAACCUGGCGGCGAGUGGCGAACGGGUGAGUAAUAUAUCGGAACGUGCCCUGGAGUGGGGGAUAACGCAGCGAAAGUUGCGCUAAUACCGCAUACGAUCUAAGGAUGAAAGCGGGGGAUUCGCAAGAACCUCGUGCUCCUGGAGCGGCCGAUAUCUGAUUAGCUAGUUGGUGGGGUAAAGGCCUACCAAGGCAUCGAUCAGUAGCUGGUCUGAGAGGACGACCAGCCACACUGGAACUGAGACACGGUCCAGACUCCUACGGGAGGCAGCAGUGGGGAAUUUUGGACAAUGGGCGCAAGCCUGAUCCAGCAAUGCCGCGUGAGUGAAGAAGGCCUUCGGGUUGUAAAGCUCUUUUGUCAGGGAAGAAACGGUGCGGGCUAAUAUCCUGUGCUAAUGACGGUACCUGAAGAAUAAGCACCGGCUAACUACGUGCCAGCAGCCGCGGUAAUACGUAGGGUGCAAGCGUUAAUCGGAAUUACUGGGCGUAAAGCGUGCGCAGGCGGUUUUGUAAGUUUGUCGUGAAAUCCCCGGGCUCAACCUGGGAAUUGCGAUGAAGACUGCAAGGCUAGAAUCUGGCAGAGGGGGGUAGAAUUCCACGUGUAGCAGUGAAAUGCGUAGAGAUGUGGAGGAACACCGAUGGCGAAGGCAGCCCCCUGGGUCAAGAUUGACGCUCAUGCACGAAAGCGUGGGGAGCAAACAGGAUUAGAUACCCUGGUAGUCCACGCCCUAAACGAUGUCUACUAGUUGUCGGGUUUUAAUUAACUUGGUAACGCAGCUAACGCGUGAAGUAGACCGCCUGGGGAGUACGGUCGCAAGAUUAAAACUCAAAGGAAUUGACGGGGACCCGCACAAGCGGUGGAUGAUGUGGAUUAAUUCGAUGCAACGCGAAAAA